UAGGCAUGUAUGGGUAUGUUGGAUCCCUGCUCGGGCAGCGACAACGUCUCCUACAUGCGUGUUUUCAAUUUUGGUCACGUCGUGGCCGGUGACGGUUUUCUGUGUUUUAUACCUAUCAUGACGGUAUUCGUUUGGCACAAACAUAACAUUCCGUCUAGUGCUGUGUUGCCUAACGGCCUCACAGUGCGGGAUGGACGUCAAAGCGCUCGUCGUGUUACACAUCCCGUGCAUCGCAACGGUGCUCGGCGUUGUUGGACCACGGCGUUGCGCCCGAUCUCUCGGAUGCGGAACAUGAUGUGGGUAUGGGUCUCCGGACCUUUAUUUGCCCCAAAAAACAAGCGUUCUACGCUUCUUGCGGACGACGAUCGUGCCAUCUUGGUCGAGCCUUUCACGGCAGGAUCAUGUGGUUACNACGUCGAUAAGGAA
rnacentral:misc_RNA from 1 species